rnacentral:rRNA from 1 species
GACAGAGGGUGCAAACGUUGCUCGGAAUUACUGGGCGUAAAGCGCGUGUAGGCGGGUUUCCAAGUCAGAUGGGAAAUCCCCGGGCUCAACCCAGGAACUGCGUCCGAUACUGGCAGGCUUGAAUUCGGGAGAGGGAUGCGGAAUUCCAGGUGUAGCGGUGAAAUGCGUAGAUAUCUGGAGGAACACCGGUGGCGAAGGCGGCAUCCUGGACCGAUAUUGACGCUGAGGCGCGAAAGCCAGGGGAGCAAACGGG